rnacentral:rRNA from 1 species
AGUGGCGGACGGGUGAGUAACACGUAAGAAUUUGCCUUUAGGAGGGGGACAACAGCUGGAAACGGCUGCUAAUACCCCAUAUGCUUUCGAGUGAAAUGGAUUUCCGCCUGAAGAGAAGCUUGCGGCUGAUUAGCUUGUUGGUGAGGUAAUGGCUCACCAAGGCGACGAUCAGUAUCUGGUUUGAGAGGACGAUCAGACACACUGGAACUGAGACACGGUCCAGACUCCUACGGGAGGCAGCAGUGGGGAAUUUUCCGCAAUGGGCGAAAGCCUGACGGAGCAAUACCGCGUGAGGGAUGAAGGCCUAUGGGUUGUAAACCUCUUUUUUCAGGGAGGAACAAAAUGACGUGUACCUGAAGAAUAAGCAUCGGCUAACUCCGUGCCAGCAGCCGCGGUAAGACGGGGGACGCAAGUGUUAUCCGGAAUCACUGGGCGUAAAGCGUCUGUAGGUGGUUAAGUAAGUCAACUUGUUAAAUCUUGAGGCUCAACCUCAAAAUCGCAGUCGAAACUGCUUGACUAGAGUAUAGUAGGGGUAAAGGGAAUUUCCAGUGGAGCGGUGAAAUGCGUAGAUAUUGGAAAGAACACCGAUGGCGAAAGCACUUUACUGGGCUAUUACUAACACUGAGAGACGAAAGCUAGGGUAGCAAAUGGGAUUAGAUACCCCAGUAGUCCUAGCUGUAAACAAUGGAUACUAGAUGUU